rnacentral:tRNA from 1 species
GCCUGGGUGGCUCAGCGGUUGAGCAUCUGCCUUUGACUCAGGGUGUGAUCUUGGGGGUCACAGGAUCGAGUCCCGUGUCAGGCU